GCUGAAGAAAAAAAACAAGAAGGGAUGUGUGAGCUUUCAGCUAAUGUAUGUUGGCACGGUGCCAUGAAGCUAUGCUGGUUUAUUAAAUGGGCACCAACAGUUCACGAUCUGGAAUGUAUCAGCACCCCCUCCCAACAACUGGAGAUGUAAAAUUUUGCAAUAUUAAGACCAUCAGAAAGCUCUAUGAGAAUAAAAUACUGAAGAUGAGAUGUAUGAUGGCUAGCUGUCUUCUUACCAUGUGCCUGAUCCACAAAUAACAGAAGAAUGAAGACAACUGAAAAAAAGUACAGUUCUGAUCAGAACAGCAUUGUGUUGUUGAAUGUCAGCUGACUGUCAAAUAGUCUUUCUCUUCUUGUUCCUUAUUACCUUCAAUUCAUGUAGGUUUCUAAAUUUCUGUUCUAUAUUUUUACUUCCUAUUGUGCUUUCCAAGUCUUCUGCAAUUAAGCGGUCACACAAACAGAUACUACUGAUUUUCUUAUGUCAAGCACUGAGAUUCAUAAUCCACUGUACAGAGAGCAGAAAGUUAAACAAAGUAUAGGAAAAAUAUUUUGAUCUAUUCAAAAAUGUUUCCAAGGAGAACAUUUUUCAUAAGUACUUAGCUUGUAGAUGCAAUAAUUCCUCUUUGGAACAAAACUAACAAUGCUAGAUUAUGAAUAGUAGAGCACUGGCAGCUCCAUAGUUUUAGUUCCUUGUGCUAAAUGAAGCCAAAGCAAGCCUACUGUGAUUGAUAGAGCUGCCUCUGCAAAGAACAGGUCUAGAGAAAACAGAUUUCCACAAAUGAAGAUGUUAACAGGCAGAAGAGGAACUGAAAUGCAUCCACUUCAAAAUAAAUGCCAAGUCACAGAGCAGGAACCGAACUGUGAGUGAUGCUAGGGAUGGGGCUUAUUACCUAAGGAAGUAUAACAUAAUACAGAAAGGUCCAGUGGAAAGCUGAGAUGUUUUUCAUGAAAUAAAGCUUAAAACUUAAAAAACAAACAAACAAACAAACAAAACCUAAGAGUGCAAAAGGAUAGAAUGAAUUGUAUCACUUUCCAUGCUUUUCUAAGGCUCGGUCCAAGGAAGAAGUAUGAAUUUUUUCAAAACUCAUGCCAUGCUUAUGUUGUAUCUGUGGGAUUCCUGCUGAUGUCACCAUGACACUGAAAGCACACUAUCUUCACAUAAUGCGAAUGUCAUGAUACUUGAAAAAUAGUGAGAUACGUACCACAGUUAAGAGAUCUGCCUUGCAGACAAGUGAAGGCAACUUUGUUCUUGGUCAUCAAUAAACUUCCCGUCACAUGCAUCGCUCCCGGCCCCACUGACUGCAGUCCUGGUGAAAUUCCUUCUUUCAUGAUUGGUGAAGUGCCUGUAGCUGGAUAACAGAGCUCCUUUCACCCUGCUCCUUUCACUUGCUGGCUGGCUGCAUGACCAAGUGCUCACACAGCAUGAUGCGAUAUGUGAUAUGAUAAGAGCGUACGUGGAAACACACACUUGUAGUUCA
ensembl:lncRNA